GCCGCGGUGGUGAAACUGGUAUACACGAGGGACUUAAAAUCCCUUGGCAGUGAUGUCGUGCGGGUUCAAGUCCCGCCCGCGGUACAA
rnacentral:tRNA from 1 species